rnacentral:hammerhead_ribozyme from 1 species
GUACUGAUGAAGAGUCCCAAACUAGGACGAAACGGUUGUCCAGUAC